rnacentral:rRNA from 1 species
CGCGUAGGCGGACCUUCAAGUCGGAUGUGAAAUCUUGCAGCUCAACUGCAAGCCUGCAUUCGAAACUGGCGGUCUUGAGUACAGUAGGGGAAAGCGGAAUUCCAGGUGUAGCGGUGAAAUGCGUAGAUAUCUGGAAGAACACCAGUAGCGAAGGCGGCUUUCUGGGCUGAUACUGACGCUGAAGCGCGAAGGCUUGGGUAGCAAACAGGAUUAGAUACCCUGGUAGUCC